rnacentral:rRNA from 1 species
AUACGUAGGGGGCGAGCGUUGUCCGGAAUGAUUGGGCGUAAAGGGCGCGUAGGCGGCUUUGCAAGUCAGUAGUGGAAGUCCAUUUUUCAAGGAUGGAAGUGCUACAGAAACUGCGGAGCUUGAGUGCAGGAGAGGUUAUCGGAAUUCCCGGUGUAGCGGUGAAAUGCGUAGAGGUCGGGAGGAACACCAGUGGCGAAGGCGGGUAACUGGACUGCAACUGACGCUGAGGCGCGAAAGCGUGGGGAGCAAACAGGAUUAGAUACCCUGGUAGUCCACGCUGUAAACGAUGAAUACUAGGUGUGGGGGGACUGACCCCCUCCGUGCCGCAGUUAACACAAUAAGUAUUCCACCUGGGGAGUACGAUCGCAAGAUUGAAACUCAAAGGAAUUGACGGGG